CCUACGGGUGGCAGCAGUGAGGAAUAUUGGUCAAUGGCCGAAAGGCUGAACCAGCCAAGUCGCGUGAAGGAAGCAGGUUCUAUGGUUUGUAAACUUCUUUUAUAGGGGAGUAAAGUUAUCCACGUGUGGAUAUUUGAAUGUACCCUAUGAAAAAGCAUCGGCUAACCCCGUGCCAGCAGCCGCGGUAAUACGGAGGAUGCGAGCGUUAUCCGGUUUUAUUGGUUUUAAGGGGUGCGUAGGUGGGUUUUAAAGUCAGCGGUAAAGGUUUUUCGCUAAACAUUAAAGUGCCGUUGACACUGGCAGACUUGAGUGUGUGUGAGGUAGGCGGAAUGCGUGGUGUAGCGGUGAAAUGCAUAGAUAUCACGCAGAACUCCGAUUGCGAAGGCAGCUUAC
rnacentral:rRNA from 1 species